GGAAGAGUUCCAGAGCAGAAUUGGAAGGGGAAAGGCAUCAGCAGGAUCUAAAUCCUUGGAGACCAGCGCCUAGGCGGAGCGGUUAAGUUUCCCCUCCCUUUUAUCUCAGACCGCUGGUGGGCUCCCAGCUGCUGGAGAGACCUGCUGCCACCAGCCCAGAGACCACUGCCGCCAGUGGCCAGUGAGCGGGGAGCCUCUGGCACACAGGGCACUGGACUCCCGGUUCCCUCGGCGCGCGUCCCGCCUCACAGAUCCCAGCCAAUGAGCAGGUGCCAUGUUACGUCAUUCUCCCGUUCUGUGAGGAGAAAGCUCUGCGGCUAGCACACCUCCCCGAGCCCGCUUCGGAAAUUGGAAGAAAAGGGGAGUGGCAGCUGACAGAACUACUUAUUGAUAAAAUCUCACUUCAGACAAUGAUCGAGUACCUUGUAGAAGAACAAUGUUCCAUCUACGUACAACUGGAAUAAAGGUGUUUAACACCAUUGGAGAACUGAGACAUCCAGGACUUGAGGGGACAGAAAACCAUAAAAUAGGAAGCUCAUUAAACUCAAGGUUAGAGAUCCAAGGAAGUAUCUGGGAGCGGGGAGAGAUCUGUGGACAACCUUUGUAUUCCCUCCAAUGAAGGCAUAAAGAUUAGAGGAAGGAUAUCAUUACCCAGAACAUUCUAAAUUUCAGGCUAAAAGAUGACAGACUGCACACUCAAGACUUUAUGUGGAAAUCUCCCUAGGUAAGCACACAGCAGAAAGCUAGUUGUGCAUAAACCAGGAAGAAGACUCUCACCAAGAAUCCAACCUACCAUCACCUUUAUCUUGGACUUUCAACAUCUA